GCGUGUAAUUUAACAAAAAAUGCCGUAUAGCCUUUCUCAAUAAAUGGGCUAACUAACACUGAAAGAAUUUUUCAAAUCGGACCAGUAGUCGUUGAGAUUAGCGC